rnacentral:lncRNA from 1 species
AGCAAACAUCCCCGGAUAUUGCCCUCAGCACACAUCGAAUGUGAUUAAUCCCGAGACGUCUGAAAAAAGGGAAACUGUCCCCAAAAGUGGGUGAAGGUUCAUGGACAAUUAUAGCACCUGGACUUUGCCCGGCAGCCUCGGCCCCUCCUGCCCCGCUUGGCAGAGGAGCACAAAAACAUUUGGCUAAUGAGUUACGGGUCCAGCCCCGGCGUGGCCCUGCCAUCUCACUCUGACAGCCCCAAUCAGGGCUGGGACAUUUUGCAAUCUGGGAUAUUAUUUCUGUGCAGUUGGAGUUUAAACUUUGCCAUUCGGGCCAGGGAAUCACAAAGGAGGAGGAAGAGGAGGAGAGUGAAGGCCGGGCUUGUUGUCCACCGCGCUCCCCUGUGCUCAGAGAGGGUUGAGAGGACAAUCUAUGGCAUCUCCCUCAGCCAUGGCCUCCAGCGCGGGCAGCCUCGAGAGCCUGGACCUGCUGGAUCUCCUCUUCGACUUCCAGGACGGGAUCCUGCGCGAGGUGGAGCUGGGCACGCCGCCGGGAGCCUGGCCCCAGGACAGGCGUGCCCCAGACAGCAAGGACUUCCUGAGCUCCGUCCUGGGCUCCGGGGACUCAGUGUCGGACUCGCCCAGCUGGUCCCCAGCCACCAGUGACAGCGGGGUGUCCGAGGACCCCCCCUCUGACCAGCACGACAGCCCCCCCCCGGAGCUGUGAUGGGGGUCCCCAAGAGGUCCUGUACCCCUACUCGGACCCCUGCCAGGCCCAGCCCCUCCCGGCGGGGUCUGGGGUCCUGCAGCCCGAGGUCUCCAUCGACCUGGGUGAGCCACACUGGGAAAGGACUGGGCUGGGGGCACUGGGGAGCUGAGAGCAGUGGGGGAGGUGGGGGACUGUGAGGAAA